UACGUAGGGUGCAAGCGUUGUCCGGAAUUAUUGGGCGUAAAGAGCUCGUAGGCGGUUUGUCGCGUCUGCUGUGAAAACUCGGGGCUUAACUCCGGGCCUGCAGUGGGUACGGGCAGACUAGAGUGCGGUAGGGGAGACUGGAAUUCCUGGUGUAGCGGUGAAAUGCGUAGAUAUCGGGAGGAACACCUAUGGCGAAAGCAGCUGCCUGGGCCUUUACUGACGCUAAGACUCGAAAGCUGGGGGAGCAAACAGG
rnacentral:rRNA from 1 species